CGGCUGACGGGUGAGUAACACGUGGAUAACCUACCUAUAAGACUGGGAUAACUUCGGGAAACCGGAGCUAAUACCGGAUAAUAUAUUGAACCGCAUGGUUCAAUAGUGAAAGACGGUUUUGCUGUCACUUAUAGAUGGAUCCGCGCCGCAUUAGCUAGUUGGUAAGGUAACGGCUUACCAAGGCAACGAUGCGUAGCCGACCUGAGAGGGUGAUCGGCCACACCGGAACUGAGACACGGUCCAGACUCCUACGGGAGGCAGCAGUC
rnacentral:rRNA from 1 species